UGCUAUUUCAGCGUUCUCAACCAGACAUUAUUCUCCUCUCUAUAGUGCAUAAUUGCGCAUUCAGGAGGCUGAUUCUGGUUCUGCUGCGUUCAAGCGGAUGCUUCACGGUUGUGUUCUGGACGGAACCAGUGAGGCAUAGACUACAUCCUGUUUUGCCUUUAACCCCACAGAAAUAGCCUUAAAUGACAAACCCUACUGGAAACAGCAAUGGGCCUCACAGGUUCCUAAAUAGAUGGAGAAUAAAUCAAUCUGGGAGCUGAUUGUCCGCUCUGUGACCGUUAUUUACACAGACCGGAAGGGCGUCCAUUCAGCAGGUGGACUGAAGUUUUUCAGUGUUGCGCUGGGUACAAGGGGUAAAGCCACUAGCAACAGCCUUAAUUUGGGAUUAACACACAAGAAACGGAUUUUACUGUUGAAUAUUGAUAUAAUAGUGUAACUGUUGUCAGUCAUUUCUAUGGCAACGGGUCUGCGUAGCGUAGCAAACACAGGGACCGAGAAAAAUGAACGAGUGGUUUGGAGCUGUUCUUCAACGGUUUUUCAGCGUUAUUUUCCCUUGAAGCGGCGAACUGCCCUAAAUUAAUAAUACCUACAUCUCAAUGUUUCAUUUUAUAAAUGGAAUUGUUUUGAGGCGGAAGCGGCAGAUAUGUUGCUUUUCAACUGGCUUCACUGCAGUUGGCCUCUACCUGGCCUCUACUCGGCCUGGCCGGGCUGCUCUACUUCGGACUGAACGCGUUUCCUCAGCCCCGGCUCAGUCUGGAGCAUCAUUACGCAGCCUCCAGGCGCCAUGCUUCAUUACUGCACCACCAAAAUUUUGGUAGGAAUGCUGGGAUUGUGGUGAUGAGGACAGAUGAUCGCUGGUGGCGUUGCAGAUGUUGGUAAACUGCCGCUGCAGACCAUCGUGGUUCUUCCUGCAGCCUCUGACUUGGAGGAUGUCUCAUCAGUGUCCAUCUUCCUGACUGCCAGUCGGUGUUUACCUUCAGGAUGUCCAGAGACCUUCCCCUUUCUGGAGCAGGGAUCACAUGAGCUCAAAGUGCCGAUGAAACAUUUCUAAUAAAAAAAAUGUGUCUGAUGUUCUUACAGAGUUGAAGCGCAUUAACAAUCAGUUGUUUUUAACUUCCCAAUACGUUUAAUGAAGAUUCAUCUGCUGUUCAAAUUAUACUGACAAUGAAUAAAGCUGCAUUCCUUAUAAUCUGAGCUUUCCUAGUUUUCCUAGUUUUAAUCCUAGUUUUAAGCUUUCCUGUUUUCAUAUUUUGGUCACUAAGAAUUGAUUAGGGGCUUAAAAAGUUUAAAUUCAAUCUUGUUUAUCACUAAUUAGGUUACAAGUUUUAGACACAUUUUCUCUUUCUUACACUGAAGAUUCUCCAGAAAAACAGCUAAACAGUGAGUGGAUAGAAUGAUGCUGCAUGAAGUAGAAAUGAACAAACAUGAUUUGUAAUUUACUACAAAUCAUGUUAAUAGCAAACCUGAUAAUACUGGCAAAAUGUCUGGUUUGCUGAAUAAUUUAUUCACUUUUGGAUACCUUCAUUCAGGGGCGGAUCUAGAAAAAAUAUUUAUGGGGUGGCAGCAUAUGCAAUAAAAACUAGACAAAAACACUGAUAUUCUGUUUUUUCUCGCUUUGUGUCGGCAUUACCCUACACACGGACCCGUUGCCAUGGCAACCGACAGACAACAGUUAGAGCAGAGAUUUCCGAUCAGGAGAAUCAAAACAAAAAAGUAGCAAAAACACCAAACCAGAUCAUUCGGUCUGUUACAUUCUGUUGUCAGGCUUGAUGUCUAUAUUGUCAUUAUUCAUAUAUUUUCACCUGAACACAGCGGUGGUUGAUUAGCUGAUUUAAACACCUGCUCUACUGAUGACUGGGUGUGCAGGUUGUCCUAUUUUAGAGCUAACGG